rfam:Salmo salar isolate Sally breed double haploid chromosome ssa15, whole genome shotgun sequence.
UUCGCGCAUGUCUGUAAGUCGCUUUGGAUAAAAGCAUCUGCUAAAUGGCAUGUG